rnacentral:lncRNA from 1 species
AAAUCAGGUCAUCCAACACCUAAUCAGGAUCAGGGAUGCUAGCUGAUUCAGAAACCAAGGAAAGCUCAUGUCCACCAGGGGGAGAAAAGUGCCAUCGAGGGCUUGUGCCAGGCUUAGCAACAGCAGAAAUUUUCAAGAAGGGCAAAAGACAUUUCAGAAGGACUAAAGAUAGGAGCUGUUGGUAAGAAGAACUGGGUGUUUCUGCAUCCCUUAUUUCUGUGUCAGCAGAAAGCUCCCAGAGAAGAGACCGGAUUGAGUUUUGUGGCUGACGCACUCGAUCAGCAAACAAACCUAGUUGAACAGUAGCACGGAUGAUGGCUGACCAUGCCUCCUGUACUCCCAGUGCCACCAUCAACAGGACAAUGAUAAAUGUCUGCCUGAAGUGCGAAGAUCAAGUGCUGGGAGAGCAAGGUCAGAUGCUUUACAUGACAUCUAAUGCGACUGUCAUUUCUCAGGCUUGGUAGCCGAUAGAAAUGUGGAGACAGGAUAAACCAGUCACUAAGAUAUCAGAGAGCAAAAUGGAGAAGAGGAACACCCCUAAGAAAAGCCAACUAGAUGCAACUCACAACGAAACAAGCCUUGAAUACAGCGUGCUACCACAUCCCCAAACCAAUCUGUGUGCAAGGAAGCAAACGGUGAGGCUUGAAAUGGGAAACUGGAAAAGGUCACCCCGCUUUUAUUCAGCUUUUUCUCCUUGUCAAGGCACCAGGUUGUGUGUUGUAAUCCUUAUGGGUCACCAGGAGCCUACCACAAAGCCCCCUCUGUCUGGGUAGCCUUCUCUGAAACUCCACCAGCC